UGGGGUGUAGCCAAGUGGUAAGGCAGCGGUUUUUGAUACCGCCACGCGAAGGUUCGAAUCCUUCCACCCUAGCCA
rnacentral:tRNA from 1 species